UACGUAGGGUCCGAGCGUUGUCCGGAAUUAUUGGGCGUAAAGGGCUCGUAGGCGGUUUGUCACGUCGGGCGUGAAAACUCAGGGCUCAACCCUGAGCGUGCGUUCGAUACGGGCAGACUAGAGGUAUGCAGGGGAGAACGGAAUUCCUGGUGUAGCGGUGGAAUGCGCAGAUAUCAGGAGGAACACCGGUGGCGAAGGCGGUUCUCUGGGCAUGUCCUGACGCUGAGGAGCGAAAGUGUGGGGAGCGAACAGG
rnacentral:rRNA from 1 species